UACGUAGGGGGCAAGCGUUGUCCGGAUUUAUUGGGCGUAAAGAGCGUGUAGGCGGUUAGGUAGGUCCGUUGUGAAAACUCGAGGCUCAACCUCGAGACGCCGAUGGAAACCAUCUGACUAGAGUCCGGAAGAGGAGAGUGGAAUUCCUGGUGUAGCGGUGAAAUGCGCAGAUAUCAGGAAGAACACCCGCGGCUAAGGCGGCUCUCUAGUACGUGACUGACGCUGAGACGCGAAAGCGUGGGGAGCGAACGGG
rnacentral:rRNA from 1 species